rnacentral:rRNA from 1 species
UGGAAUCGCUAGUAAUCGCGGAUCAGAAUGCCGCGGUGAAUACGUUCCCGGGUCUUGUACACACCGCCCGUCACACCAUGGGAGUCGAUAACGCCCGAAGUCAGUGACCCAACCUGUAAGGAGGGAGCUGCCGAAGGCGGGAUUGAUAACUGGGGUGAAGUCGUAACAAGGUAGC